UUUUUGCAACAAUAAGCGGAGGAAAAGAAACCAACCAGGGAUUGCCCUCAGUAACCGGCGAGUGAAGCCGGCAAAAGCUCAAAUUUGAAAUCUGGCUGCUUUUUUAGUAGUCCGAGUUGUAAUUUGAAGAAUAGAUCCUUGGAGAGGCGCCUUGUCUAUGUUCCUUGGAACAGGACGUCGCAGAGGGUGAGAAUCCCGUUUGGCGAGGUGUGCUGAUCCGUGUAAGGGCUGUUCGACGAGUCGAGUUGUUUGGGAAUGCAGCUCUAAGUGGGUGGUAAAUUCCAUCUAAAGCUAAAUAUUGGCGAGAGACCGAUAGCGAACAAGUACAGUGAUGGAAAGAUGAAAAGAACUUUGAAAAGAGAGUGAAAAAGUACGUGAAAUUGUUGAAAGGGAAGGUUAUUAGAUCAGACUUGGAUUUUUUAUUAUAUUUGUCUCCUUGUGGGGCAUUCACUAAUUUUUAAUCCAGGCCAGCAUCGAUUGGGAUGGCGGGAAAAAGAGGGAGGAACGUGGCUGUGCAUUUAUGUGCAGUGUUUAUAGCCUUUCUUAAUACCGCCUGUCUCGAUUCGAGGACUGCGGCAAAUUUAUUUUUGCCUAGGAUGCUGGCGUAAUGAUCUAAUA
rnacentral:rRNA from 1 species